rnacentral:rRNA from 1 species
UCGGGAAUAUUGCGCAAUGGAGGAAACUCUGACGCAGUGACGCCGCGUAUAGGAUGAAGGUUUUCGGAUUGUAAACUAUUGUCAUUAGGGAAGAUAAAAGACAGUACCUAAGGAGGAAGCUCCGGCUAACUAUGUGCCAGCAGCCGCGGUAAUACGUAGGGGGCAAGCGUUAUCCGGAAUUAUUGGGCGUAAAGAGUGCGUAGGUGGUUACCUAAGCAGGGGGUGAAAGGCAUUGGCUUAACCAAUGUUAGCCCCCUGAACUGGGCUACUUGAGUGCAGGAGAGGAAAGCGGAAUUCCUAGUGUAGCGGUGAAAUGCGUAGAUAUUAGGAGGAACACCAGUAGCGAAGGCGGCUUCCUGGACUGUUACUGACACUGAGGCACGAAAGUGUGGGGAGCAAACAGGAUUAGAUA